rnacentral:lncRNA from 1 species
CCCAUCCCUGGAGGCGCUCAAGGCCAGGUUGGAUGGGGCCCUGGGCAGCUGAGCUGCUGGGGGGCAGCUCUGCCCAUGGCAUGGGGUUGGAAUGGGUAGGCUUUGAGGUCCCUUCCAACCUAAACCAUUGCAUGAUUCUAUGGUCUCUGUUAUUUAACCUUCAUGCAAGAGCCCCAGACAUCCGUGGGCUGUCAAGCAGUGGCUUCUUCUGGAAAUGAAAGACUAGCUCAUACUUGUCCAGUGUGAUCUAGGACCCUCCACACAAUUUAGGUAGAGACCUCUUCACUCAACAAAUGGGACUCUUGCUUCUGACAAGUUUGCAUUUGGUCCCUUCUAAUACUGUUAUUGACUGCCCUUUGAUGUUACUCACAAUAUUUGGAAAGUCAACGUUUGUGUUCCUGCUCCUUUGCUCUUUUUGAAACUGAAAAAUACUUCACUACUCUUGUGUAUGGGAACUGUUGAGUCACGGCCUGAACCACUGAUUGAUCACCUGAAGCAAGGACUGGGUCAGCCAUGGGAGCACAGGUGAAGGCAAUUCAGCCGUGUGACCAGAAGGGGUGGAGCCUGGCCGCACCUCUCCUACACCCCAUUUAAGGGCUGACUGCCACUAGGGAAGGAUCUUUUUCUGGAGAUCCCUCCCUUUUGGAGUUUUCCAUUGUGAGCCUGGAUCCUCAGGUACAGGAGAGUGUUUCUUCCUUGCUUGUUUCUUUUUUACCACAAUAACGUUUCCAACUAUAACACCCUUAAAAUUCUAUCCUAACCACGCUACUCUUCCAGCUGUACAUUCUGCAAAAUGACACUUCAAAUGCCCUUCAGUGAUAUUUUGCAGGAGUUCUGUGAGUCCUCUUGCUUUUUUCAGGGCCCUUAUGCUUAUUUUUAUGAUAAUUUUGCUUCCACUUUAUGACAUCAGGCUGAAUCCAGCUAAGGUGAGUGCAUGUGUGUUUCUGUUUGCCUGAGAACAACAUCUUUUGACAGCUUCACCAAAUUCUUUAAUCGCACCUACCUACUGUGCUCCUGUGUGUCAGCUCAGCCUGUAUCCUCUAUGGGGAGCACCUCACCUGCCUUCACCCCUCGAAACCUUCCAUGCUCUCUGAGCAUCAGGAGAGCAUCCCUUCACCUAGAGCCUUCACUGUAAUGGAAGAAAUGGCAGCUUGAAUACCAGGUCAGUUCUCACCCACGCACAAUUCCUCUGGGUUUUGGGAAAUUCCCAGAACAGAGACAGCAUCAAUACUCCUGGUUUAAAGACUUCCUAACCUAUCCUUUCCUAACCUAACCUGACAGCUGCCAACAACUGUAAUUCCCAACUGCAAGAAGACCAGUGCUGGUUUCUAGCCUUUAAUUGUUUUCUGACAAUGAGACAUCUAUACUAAUCAUGUGUGUCAUUUUCCUCUCUUACCCCUUAUAAAUGAAGAAUAACAUAAAGUAUUUAAUUGGACACAGUGGCAAAACCCAGAGGGGCCAUAGUCUCAAUGUAGGGCUGUCAUUUCUAAGGUAGUGUUGAAAAGGGUGAUGCUGAUGCUUGGGCCUGAGCAGGGCCUGUCCUCACCUGAUCCUCAGCUGCAAAGACUGUUCCUGCUAUCGGCAGCUAAGGAAAACUGUGCUGUUUCAGUGGAAAUGCCACUGAAGGCAGCUCAGAUAGCACAGUAGAGGACAGGCUAUCAGCAAAUCAUAGAAUCAUUAAGGUUAAAAAGACUGCUAGGACCAUCAAGUCCAACUGUCAGACCAUCACACCAUGCCCACUAACCAUGUCCCUCAGUACCACAUCCACAUGGUUCUUGAGCACCUGCAGGGAUGGUAACUCCAUCACCUUGGGCAGCCUAUGCCACUGCUUCACUCUUUCUGAGAAGAAAUUUUCUCUAAUAUCGUACGUGAAUCUCCCCUGGUGCUACUUAAGGCCAUUUCCUCUCAUCCUAUCGCUGUUACCUGGGAGAAGAGGCUGACCCCCACUUUGCCACAACCUCCUUUCAGGUAGUUGUAAAGUCUCCCCUGAGCCUCCUCGUCUCCAUGCUGUACAGUCCCUGCUCCCUCAGCAGCUUCUAGGAAGAAGACAUCAGCUAGGUUUAGCAAAUAUUUCAGCAGUAUUUUGAAGUUCCAAUGAAAACAGAGAAAGACUUUGAUGUCUACACAAUCUCUACUCCACCGUAUACUUCACCCCAUUCUUUUCAGUGGUGUUUAAUUAGAGUUCCCUGAGGCCAGACAGAUGUGAGAAGCAAAAUCGUGGGCCUAUAGAAAAAAAGAAAAGACAGAGUAGGUAAAAUACCAGGAUGUAAUGAACAAUAUAUUAAAUUAUUAUUAUUUUACUAUUCAUUUAUUUUAGCAUGAAGAUAUACCUUGCACCGUGAUCCAUGUGAGAGAAGUAACCAGAUAUUUUUUGGCUGCCAGCUUGGAAGUCCCUGCUGUCACUGAAGCAAUACUGAUAAGUCUUCUGGCAGGAAUUUUCUAUAUUGGUUUCCCUAACAAUUUUUUUUUCAACGAAAUUAUUGCUUCUUGUGUUUUGUGGAUAUUUUCCAUGCAUUCAUGACUCCAGGGAAAAUUCCUAUCCAUCAAGCCCAUUCAGUGUGCUACUGUAUUUUCCUUCUUUGUGUUUUGUUUCCCAAACAUAAACACUAAUAACAACUUCUGGGACUCAAAGGAAGGCUCCUAAGUUUUGUUUCAAAAUAGCAAGGAAAAAAAAUAAAAGCCAGAGUGCACUGACACAAAUUUGGGGUUUCUGUUUUAUCUAUGGGGGUGUUUGAAGGGGAGAAUGGUGGAUCUACAAAAGUUUGAUUCCAGCAGAUCUCUAACCUGUUUUGCUCUCUUGCUUUAAGUCUUUUUUCCCUUCUUCUUCCUUCCCCAUUCUUACUAAUACUGUUCUCUUUACAUGAGUAGCUUUUAUCAUUUUUCCUUUUCAACCAUUUAAUUGUUUUUUAAUUUCCUUUCUCCUUCUGUCGUUCCUUUUUAAUUCCGUUUUACCUUCCCAUCCUCUUCUCUUUUCCUUUUUCUCCUAGCUCUGCCCUUCUCUGUGGGAGCUGACACUUAUCCCCAAAUUAGUGCGAUAACACAGGAAAAAACCUUGUUUUCAGAAGCUCCCAUCAGUCUCAGGACAGGCAGUGCACUGGGCUAACGCCUUACUAAAUAUAACCCUUUUGUUUGGCAUAAGAUGGCUCACCCUGGUUCAGUGGAAUGGCUUUGUUUUAGGUGUAGAUAGUACAUCAGGGCUGCCUGGCAGGUGCAUCUUGCAGUCAGUGUCACCAAGCAAUAAAUUCUGUAAUUACAGGUCAUGGAGGUGGAGUUCUCCUUUGAUGUGACUUUUUUUGUUGUUGUUGCAAGCGGAUACAAUUUGCCUGAGAUAUCAAAUGCAGAUAGCAGUAAAAAUUUAAUUAACAAAUCAAAGCUUUUAUCUGGGGUUCUAAGAACUCAAGCCAACAGGUUUUUUCAAUUUAAAGACAUCACAGACAGAAGGACGAAGGCAGUGACUUUGUAGUAUAUUCAGCUUACAACCUUUUUAGUGAUGCUUGCAAAGAUAAAACUUUUUUAGCUGUUGCUUUUCAGUCUGGAGAAGCUUUUAGGUCUUCCUCAAAAGCAAGUAUGUUGUUCAUUGCCUGCCUUAUUUUCAUAAUUCUAACUUCACCGUGAGCACACAUUUCUCUCAUGGCUCUGCGGAUUACUUAUCAGGAGAAUGUGAGGAGCAGUCAGGCUCCACGUUCUUGCUGGUUAAUUCCACUUGCAGUGAACCACUUGCUCAUGAUAUCAAUUGGCCUAAACUGUGGGCAUGAUAUUUCUUCCAUGAUUCGCUUAUCUCCUUAAGAAUGAAAGCCUGGUGGAAAACUUGUCUCUUGGCUUCUUCAUAUGCAUAUGGGGAAGUUACUGUUUUCCUUUGGUGCUUUCCUAUCGUGCAGUCAUGAUUGAAAUAGCCAGGUCCAGAAACUGAGUGUCUGAGUCACAUUGCUCAUUCUGCUGGUAACUCCUGGGAGUUGGGGGAGCAGCAGUCUGCCCCUGUGUGUUGUGUGUGUGUACCUACUACUUACUGUCUAUGUACUGAACAUCAGGCAAAUGUGCAAGGAAAUCUUUUAAAAAUCCACAUACCCAGUGCCACUUUUGCUGGAAGCCACUUCUCAGAGCACCCCACGUUACAGCCAACUACGACCUCUGGGUGGAAGGAUGACAAGUGGAGGCAGCGCUCUCAAUAAAUGCAACUCUCUUGCAUUCAUGGGUCAGCUGCUCCUUGGAAUUUAUUUCUGGGGAUGUUUAGAAACCAAAAUUAUAAAAUCCUGCAGAAAAGAUUAAAAGAGAGCGCUGUAACAACAACAACAAAAAUCUCAGAAGUUCACCAUAAUGUUAUGUACUUGACUUUCCAAGACUGAUAAAUGCUUCAGAUGAAAGUACACUGUGUUGCAGGCAACACCGACUGCCUUUCUGUGGGGUCUGUGAAGGUACGUUGUCACAUUCGCCCUACCUAUGUGUUUGUUCAUCUGGGAUUAGCCCAAGCGUCUCUGCAAGUGUGCACACAAAGAUCUUAGUUCAGGAAAUAUAUACCACUAUUGAAUAGCACUUAGGAAAGCCUUAAGUACAGGAGCACUUAAUCAUGGUCUUAAGGACCUUCCUGAAAUGAAGCCAGAGAACCUGAGUCAAAGACCUUGGGAGUCAACACAACGCUGUGAACUUGUGCUUAUGUGUAUUUAGAGGUGCGGGUCCUGAAUUUAAAUGUACAACUUCUGAUUUCUGAGCUGACUGCUCAAACAGCUGAAUGGGAUGACUGAAAUAAAAUCCUCUUGAGCGUGGAUGAAGUGGGCAAAGACUCCUAGUGAACUUGUAGUACGGAGUAUUUAUAGUACAGUUACCCAUUAAUAAAGUAUAAAUUGUCAAGCAAUUGCUGUUGCAAAAGCAUCAAAAUCUCUCCAGAGCUGUAGCAGGCAUAAAAAAAAAAAGAAAGAAAAAAAGAUUGGCCAUUCUUGUGUUUAAAGUAUGCAAAUUAACUUCUUGACAUUUGUGUUACUAAUUUUAAUGCUUUGAUGGAAGAACUCUGUUACCAUAAAAGCCCCAGACAUCACCUCACAGGGCUAAGAAAAAAGGAGGAAAGAGUUCAAAGUGAAUAAUUACCUGUUGAUGAUGUAUUAUAUUUAAAGACUCUGGCUGUGGAUUAAAGCUAGUUCUCAGGUUGUUAAUAGCCUGCAGUAAACAACUAAUGAAUCAAAGAAAAGGAGGAAAAGCAGCUAUAGACGAAGGGCAUUCUCAUUAAUACCAAAGGCCAGAGUUGAAGUGUCAAAUGUAACACAAUAAAAUACAGUCAUUUCACACCAGAGUGUGUAAGAAUUCAGGAAAAUAGUCACAGGUGAAUUAUUAAGGGCUUGUCAUUUAAGCUUUGUUCUCCUAGCACUUUGAUGCCAUGCACACUACCAGGUUUUCCACCCCUCUGGUUUUUUUCUGUAGUUCAGCUGCGACUUUUAUGUGGUGUAAGAAGGAGAACAGAUUUGGAUAUCAAGAGCUGUACCUACAGCAGUGGCGACUAACCUUACUGUGGAAAGAGUAGGACUCCGGAGAGGACAAAAAAAGCUGGAAGGAGGAGGCAUGGAGCAGAAAAUGGUGAGAAAACAGUUGAAAACAGUGCAGGAUAAACUGGGUAUCUACAGGGAUCUUUCUGGCUUUGAACUACUGAGAAUUUUGAUAAAACACAAAAACAAGUGAUUCACGUGGGUGUGGUGGGGAAUUAUUUCAACAUACUUCAGCUAAAUAGACGUCAGCAGUGCUUCUAUCUGUGGUCCUUCAGUCCUGCCCCAUUCUCUUCUCACCAGAGCAACACCUUUUAGCAACUGGCAGUUCUCACCAGAGCGUAGGGCCCUUUUUUUGUACAAAAGCUCAAUUCUCAGAAGCAUUAAAAGAGGGAACGUAGCUUUUAUUUAGUGUGGGGGAGCCGAGAUUUUUUGUGAGUCCUGAACUUUUCAGGGGGAUGCACCUCUUCUCUUUGAAAGUUAUUUUAGGAUAAAUAUAACACUGUGAAAAUGCCAUCUAUCAGUUUGGUAUGUAUGGCACAGCGUUCUCUGAUUUUUCACCUCUUGUCAGACCUUGACUUUUAAGACUGCUAGAUCUUCUCAGGGUUCACAGAUGGGGUGUAAGAGCUGACUGAAAGUAAGGGAAAACAAAGUGUGGAAGAUAUAUUUCCACUGAAAAGUUGGUAGGUGUUCCAAAGAGAGCAGUUAUUUUUAAGGUGUAAGAAUCAAUAUAUUCCAAGAAAUAAACCAUUAUGUUCAACAAAUGAUCUACAGAUAAUCAUCUUUUCACACAUUGUGGUGAGUUAGGCUAAAAGCACACCUUUCUCAGGUAAGUUGUAAAAGAAAGCCAGCUAAUCAGCAGCCUUUACAUCCAGUCUGUGGUGUGUCUGAAGCAUAAGCUUUAAGUUAAGAACAGCAGACAUUUGCAUACAGUUCAUUUAAAGGAAGAGUGCUUGCAGUGACAAAACACAUGCCAUUAGCCUUGCUCCACAGAAGCAAGGUCAAAGGUUCAAGAUCUGUGUGGGAAAAGUAAUGGCAGGAGCAUGGAGCCACACCAGGAGCAUCACCCCCAGCAGGAAGAAAGGCACAUGUGGGGAGCUUAAUUGCAAAAUGCCAUCUCAUAGGAAGGUUAUGCAGAAGAAAAGUAGGUUACCAUGUUACCACUCAGCAUGAAUGCACCAAGGGGAAAUCAUGCUCUCCCAAACUGGUAGCCUUCUCUGAUGUCAUGACUGCUUGGGUAGAUGAAGGGAGAGCAAUGGAUAUUGUUUACCUUGACUUCGGCAAGGCUUUUGACACUGUUUCCCACAACAUCCUUAUAGGUAAGCUUAGGAAGGAUGGGAUAGAUGAGUGGGCAGUGAGGCGGAUUGAGAACUGGCUGACUGGCAGAGCUCAGAGUGUUGCAAUCAGCAACACAGAGUCUGGUUGGAGGCCUGUAACUACUGGUGUUCCCCAGGGGUUGGUGCUAGAUCCAGUCUUGUUUAACAUCUUCAUCAGUGACCUGGAUGAAGGGAUAGAGUCCACCCUCAGCAAAUUUGCUGAUGAUACACAGCUGGGAGAAGUGGCUGACACACCAGAAGGCUGUGCUGCCAUUCAGUAAGACCAAAUAGGUUUGAGAACUGAGUGGAGAGGAACCUGAUGAAGUUCAACAAGGGCAAGUGUAGAGUCCUACACCUGGGGAGGAAUAACUAUAUGCAUCAGUACAGGUUAGGGGCUGACUUGAUGGAGAGGAGCUCUGAAGAGAAGGACGUGGGCGUUCUGAUGGAUGACAGGUUGGCCAUGAGCCAGCAGUGUGCCUUUGUGGCCAAGAAGGCCAACGAUAUCCUGGGGUGCAUUGAAAAGAGUGAGGCCAGCAGGUCGAGAGAGGUUAUCCUCCCUCUAUGCUCUCCCCUAGUAAGGCCACAUAUGGAGUGGCCCUGGAGAGAUGCAGGCAGCCUGAGCUGCUGAACACGGAGAGCCUGAACAAUGUACAUGGACUAUAAACCAAACUUUUGGAUCUUUAAUGUUGAAUGAGGUAAAUCCCAAUCAUAAUCCUCAGCACUUUCGAUAGACGUUUGUCAUUAUUUCCAUAUCCACAAUUUCUCCAACACUUGAAAUAUACGCUUCCCGUCCUGAUAAGUGACAGUGCUCACCCCCCCAUCUGUUUCCUCUACUAUGGUGCUAAUCCUGUCUCCAAGCUAUGUGCUUUCUACAGUGGGUUUCCCAUAGCAGAUACUUGGCUGUGUUGUUGGGUUCUGAUAAAUGAAAUAUCACUGAAAAGCUUUGUUAGGCCAAAUGAGAAACAUAAUAAACAAAGAAGUGUGAUGGUCUCUGUUCCAGAGCAGCUGAAGUGUCCUAGGCAUUCCAGCAGCUCACCCUCAAAUCACCAUCUUGAUAAUGGCUGGGCUAUGUAUUCUGCAAGUGUGAUCUUUGCAUCAGUGAAAAUUAAAUGGGAGAGAGGGAGUCCAAAGAAUAGAUGAGUGGUUCAUCUGCAUUCCCUGGAUAUUGGACAUGUCUAUUCAAAGGAUCAAGGGUUAGAGCAUGGCUUUGCUGGAAACAAGCGGGCAGAAGUUAGUGGCCAGAGCAUUUCCUGCACUGCCUACUAUCUUGCUGUGCUUUUUGGAGAAGGCAAGGGAGCCACAGGACUGCACAGCCCCUGUCUUAUCUCUAUUAGUAUGGUGUCCAUCUACACUGGCAUGUAUAUGUUGAGGGGAUAGUGAGGCAGAUAAUUCAAAUGUUCCUCCUCACGUCUUUUUCAUUUCAGACAGGCAGCACAUGUGUAUGUAAAACAAACAAGCAACAACAACAACAAAAAAAACCAACAACCAAAACUAUCUGUUUGGGGCAAUUUGGUGAGCCAUAAACUGGCUGCUUCCAUGUCCUGCGCUACCCUUGCUCUCCACAGUUCUUACUGCUUGCUCUGGGGAAUGCAUCUUGUGGAAUCUUUUGUGAUGGACUCCCAGAUCUCUGCAAAGUCUCAGGCUGGGCUUGCCAAAGCAUGCUGCUCCAGUGCGUUAUUCGUAUUGUAGUCAAUGCCCAGAGGCCCCUCUCUACUGAGCAGUGUCUGUGGCCGGUACACAUGCAGCUGUUUGUCCUAAGGUCCAAGAUGAGCCCUCACACCACCUGCCCUGCCUCUGCAGCCCACGAUGUUCUGAGCCAUCAUUAAAGCUUAAUAUAUUCCAUUUGGCACUAGCGUGAGAAAGCUAUCUUGUUUAGGGGAAAAAAAAUUAUUAUUAAGCCCAAAGCAAAGAUGCAGGCACUUUUUGGUGAUGGUGUUGAUUAUUUGGAAAAUGUCAUUCCCAAGCUGCCUUGUUUGCCAAAUGAGAGACAUGUGUUAGUAAUAAACAGCACACAACACAGAUAUCUUCUAUAAAUGGCUGUUUCAAAACACAAUAAUAAAACAAGGGGACCAGGAAGUUCCCCAGAUCUAACACUGUACCUCUUUUAAAACUAUUGUGGCCUGCAGGCAAGACUUGUCCUCCCUUCUUCUCUUCCAUAUUGCUUUUCUUCCUCUAAAAUCUCAGACCUCUUCUCUAUUUUUCCUUGUAUAGAAUCUUAGAAGGUUUUUUUUUGUUUCUUCCAGAGACAGUUAGUUGAAAUAUAUGCCUCUUCAAACUGAUCAUUCAUGCUAGACUUAGUUGAAUGUCAGUAAUGACAUGGAAAGUUUUCCAAGGACCUGAAGGAGGAAACUGUUCUAUGAAGCUUUCACUGCUCCUAUGGACUUCUUAUUCACUUUCAUAUUUCACUGCUCCUAUGGACUUCUUAUCUCUUCACGUUAGUGACUUUGGACACAGAUAUAAAUUGCCAUAGGUUGGUAAAAGAGUCAGAGGUCUGAUACAGCUCACGUCACCACCACUUUAAUGUGAAGCCAUUAAUUCAGGUGGCAUGCUUUCUGAAGGCAUCAGUGUAGUUGGAAUAAUUAUUGGCACAUCAGCUCUUAGAGAUUUACAGCAGAAGGGUUUGAACGUGCAAAUAUUUACGCAGGUGGGCAAACCUGUAGCCUGUUGUUGCCACAAACAACAUGUUGCAUGAGGAUGUUACUUAUCUGUAGUGAUGUGGGUGAAAGCAGGAUUUUAAGAGACCUAAAUAACACUAAAUAAUGAGUGGUAAGGACAGGAUAUUGUGCAUAAGGAGAAAAGUGCUACCUGUAUGAGGCACACUUGUAAAUAGCAGAGUGGCGUUUGCUUGUUUGACACUUGAUGAUGCAAGACUAUUUAAUUGUUUGGGUGGCUGGGCUUCAUGCAGGAGACUACUAUUUCAAAUGUGGUUGGAGUAUAAUGAUGUGUAGUAACAUGUAAUGGUGGUGGUAGAAGACCAGCCUUCUGGUAACCUAGCAUCAUCUGUGAGUUAGCGAAGAGAGGAAGAGAAGGAGGUACAGAUGACUAAUGCAAAGUUACACCUUUCCUUUUUGACUGAUAGUGCCUUUCUUUCAUGUCUUACCGGACUCAUUGCUGUGGGGCAUCUGUGUAGGAGAAAAGCCAGUUCCUAUCUACUUCUGCUUUGCCUGUUCUUUCCAGUGUGACACUAGUUGCUGUGAUACACCCCCAGUAAAUAUUAGCUAACUACUGCAAUGUGUUCUGUGUGGGGUGUAGCAUAGAACAGAAGCAGAUGCAAAAUACCACAUUCCAUUUUCCAAACAACAACUGUGACCAAAUUGCUCCGUGCUUUACAUGGAGGAUCAGCCCAAAGAGCCCUAGGAUCAGCAGGAAUCUUCCCACUGACAUAAAAAUCUUUGGUUCAAGUCUUCCAAGAUAAUAGUAAGUGCUGGUUUUCCCCCAUAGUUGAGUAAGGCUUAGGAGAUGUCUCUGAAAGUCUGACCUCUGUCUUUUAUCCAGUGUGGCCAGGAAUGAGAUGAAAUCAGAGAUGAACUGGCAGAGGAGAGGUGUUGCUUCUUGGCUGGGAAUGGAGAAAAACCUUUGCUUUUUUCCUCUGUCUGAAGCAUCUCAUCCUCCAGGCUGUGGAGACUUCUCUGUCCCUUGCAUAGAAGAGGGCAAGUUAGUCCUUCCAUGUGGAGUCAGUACUUGUUGAACUGUUCUUCCAGUUCACA